AGAAUAUAAGAAUUCGUCUCUUAAUUUUUAACUAAAAAAGUUAAGAACUUACUCUUAAAAUUCUUAUUUAAGAACCGGUUCUUAGCUUUUUUAGUUAAAAGUUAAGAGACGGGUUUUUAUAUUCC
rfam:Brassica napus, WGS project CCCW01000000 data, contig: 12059